AACCUACGGGAGGCAGCAGUGGGGAAUAUUGGGCAAUGGGCGCAAGCCUGACCCAGCAAUGCCGCGUGAAGGAAGAAGGCUUUCGGGUUGUAAACUUCUUUGACAGGGGAAGAGCAGAAGACGGUACCCUGAAAACAAGCCACGGCUAACUCCGUGCCAGCAGCCGCGGUAAUACGGAGGGUGCGAGCGUUAAUCGGAAUUACUGGGCGUAAAGCGCUCGUAGGCGGUAUGUCAAGUCAAGGGUGAAAUCCCCGCGCUCAACGUGGGAACUGCCUUUGAAACUGGCAAACUGGAGUGUGUGAGAG
rnacentral:rRNA from 1 species